rnacentral:piRNA from 1 species
ACACUGUUCAUUAUUGCAAGAACAGGC